AGAGGCACCCUGUCAGGGCAGUCAGGCAGGGUGCGCCACUGCCUCCCCACCCAGGCCUGUGCCCAGGGCCUGAGCCACAAGCCCCCCUGGCGCCCUGCCACACAUGAAGCUCAGGAGUCUCCUCAGGAAGCCACCUGGAGACCAGAACACAGUGCAAAACCUCCGGAUGGCUAGGAGGGCAGACAAGUGGGUGCAGAUGUUAAAGCACUGGGAGAAGUACAGCCACAGCUCCAAGAUGAGGUGCCGGGUCUACAAGGGGAUUCCCCCACAAGUGCGGGGCCGUGUUUGGGCUCUCCUGCUGGGUGUGGACCAGGCCAUGCUGGAGAACAAGGGAGAGUAUGAGCAGCUGAUGGCGCUGGGCAAGGUGUUGUCACCAUCCAUCGCAGAAAUUGAUGAAGAUGUGAGUGUCACCUGCCGGGACCACAUCUUCUUCAAAACCAGAUACAGCACCAAGCAGCAGGCCCUCUUCAACGUCCUUGUGACUUUUUCAAUUUAUAAUCCGGAUUCUUCAGCACAGGGUGUCCCAAACUGGGUCGGUUCCUGGAGCAUCAUGAUGAAACCAUCAGUCAGUUGCUCCCCAGGUUGAAGCAUCACAUGCACCAGGAACGGCUGCUCAUUCGAGCCCAUGUGACCCAGUGGUUCCUGGAGUGCUUUCUGCACCGGACACCCUUUCUGCUCACCCUGAGGAUCUGGGAUGCCUUCAUCCUCGAUGGUGAGCGGUGCUGACCGGCAUGGCCUAUACCAUGCUCAAGGUGCACGAGAAGUGGCUGCUCAGGCUGUCUGGUCAGGGCAUGCAAGUAUUUUUGUACCACACCCUGGCCCAGCCCUGGAGCCUACCAGAUGACCGUGUCGUCAGCCACCUCCAGGCCUCCAUGGCCCAUUUGCGGAGGCAUGGCUUGGACAUCCCCCCACCAGCAGUUCCUGUGAUGCCCGUGCAGCCAACAACGUCUGAAGAGCCCAAGGACGCAGGCCUCUGCCCUGAGCUACGUCUCUGGAGCUCUGAACCUUCCCUGCCCAUCACCCCUGAGGUGGCCAACAGAUGCCCAGAGACUGUGCCCUUCAAUGCUCUCCUCAGUGGCUCCUACCCAUGUGCUCUGGCCUGGCUCAUAGCACGACCCCAACCCCGCCCAACUGCUGGGGCCCUGAAGUCCUGGUGAACCCAGUCUGCUGGGCAGCAGGCUGCUAGGCCCAGGUUACCACUGCUUCCCCAUGGUGCCCAGAUUCCACGCCUCCCCCAGGGCAGGGACCCUCUCCCAAUGGAGGCAACCAAUGUAUUACGAAGAUACAGGUCUUAGGUGGGCCUGGACACAUGGCCCUCACACCUGCCACCUAGAGCCGCCUCAGUCAGCUGAGGGGGCCUAGCCUGGGAGGCGGCAGCCACUCUCACUCUAGGCCUCCAAUAAACUUUUGGGCUCA